rnacentral:rRNA from 1 species
GAUGAACGCUGGCGGCGUGCCUAAUACAUGCAAGUCGAGCGAACAGAUAAGGAGCUUGCUCCUUUGACGUUAGCGGCGGACGGGUGAGUUACACGUGGAUAACCUACCUAUAAGACUGGGAUAACUUCGGGAAACCGGAGCUAAUACCGGAUAACAUAUUGAACCGCAUGGUUCAAUAGUGAAAGGCGGCUUUGCUGUCACUUAUAGAUGGAUCCGCGCCGUAUUAGCUAGUUGGUAAGGUAACGGCUUACCAAGGCAACGAUACGUAGCCGACCUGAGAGGGUGAUCGGCCACACUGGAACUGAGACACGGUCCAGACUCCUACGGGAGGCAGCAGUAGGGAAUCUUCCGCAAUGGGCGAAAGCCUGACGGAGCAACGCCGCGUGAGUGAUGAAGGUCUUCGGAUCGUAAAACUCUGUUAUCAGGGAAGAACAAAUGUGUAAGUAACUGUGCACAUCAUGACGGUACCUGAUCAGAAAGCCACGGCUAACUACGUG